rnacentral:lncRNA from 1 species
UCAGCUGGGAAAUUGUCUCUUACAGGGGCCGGACUCGGUGAUGGUGGGGAGGCAGCACGAGCUAGGCCAGUAGAAGGUCCUGGAUCGGCUCCCUAGAGCUUCAAAAAAGGCCUGGGCUAGGGACAGUACAGACUUUGGAGGAGAAUCCUGAUGUAGGAUAAAGAACCAUCUGGGACUUUGUCUUAUAUCCGCCCUUGGUGAUGCAAUGGUCAUGCCGUCAUCAGAAGUAUUAGAAAUGACCAGACUUGAGGAUCAGAUGCAAUAAAUCACAGUGGAUAAAAGGAUUUAUUGGUGUGACGUGUUACUAGAAAUCUGAAUUUAUUUUGCAGGUACCCAUUUUGUAAAAGCAUGGAUCUGUUGAAGUCUUGCUACGGUGGCACAGUGAGCAUAAGGCAUUAUGCUAGGUGUUGUUACAAAGGGGAAGCUGAUCGAUGUACCUGAGAGUCUGCCUUUGUAAAGUUUUCUGUAUGGAAAUGUAAUCCUACAGAAAGGAGCAGUGCCUCAACAUGGGGCACAAGCCACAUGGUGGGGACGGUCUCUCCAGUGGGUGGUGCAGCUGUCUGCUUCCUAAUGGGUCCCUGAGGACAUUUCCUGACUAGCAAGGCUGACGAGAUAAUACAGGGUCAUGGUUCCUACCAGUCAUUUCCUUCCUUUUGUAGGACACCAGUGCUACCUGACUGCCCAGUCCAUUCGUCCAGCCCUCUGUCCCAGCAGGAAGCCUGACUGUCAUGAAGGUGUAGGAGUCCAGGCCGUGAUAUGUCAGAAAUAUUAAAAUUUUUGAAAAUUGGACAGGAAAGUCCUCACCGAUUAUGAUUCUACUGAAAUUGAUUCAAUAUUUCCGAU